GAUGAACGCUGGCGGCGUGCCUAAUACAUGCAAGUCGAGCGAACAGACGAGGAGCUUGCUCCUCUGACGUUAGCGGCGGACGGGUGAGUAACACGUGGAUAACCUACCUCUAAGACUGGGAUAACUUCGGGAAACCGGAGCUAAUAACGGAUAAUAUAUUGAACCGCAUGGUUCAAUAGUGCAAGACGGCUUUGCUGUCACUUAUAGCUGGAUCCGCGCCGCAUUAGUUAGUUGGUAAGGUAACGGCUUACCAAGGCAACGAUGCGUAGCCGACCUGAGAGGGUGAUCGGCCACACUGGAACUGAGACACGGUCCAGACUCCUACGGGAGGCAGCAGUAGGGAAUCUUCCGCAAUGGGCGAAAGCUUGACGGAGCAACGCCGCGUGAGUGAUGAAGGUCUUCGGAUCGUAAAACUCUGUUAUUAGGAAAGAACAAAUGUGUAAGUAACUAUGCACGUCUUGACGGUACCUAAUCAGAAAGCCACGGCUAACUACGUG
rnacentral:rRNA from 1 species